rnacentral:rRNA from 1 species
AGUCGAACGAAGCUGCUUAACUGAUCUUCUUCGGAAUUGAUGUUUUGUAGACUGAGUGGCGGACGGGUGAGUAACGCGUGGGUAACCUGCCCUGUACAGGGGGAUAACAGUUAGAAAUGACUGCUAAUACCGCAUAAGACCACAGCACCGCAUGGUGCAGGGGUAAAAACUCCGGUGGUACAGGAUGGACCCGCGUCUGAUUAGCUAGUUGGUGAGGUAACGGCUCACCAAGGCGACGAUCAGUAGCCGGCUUGAGAGAGUGAACGGCCACAUUGGGACUGAGACACGGCCCAAACUCCUACGGGAGGCAGCAGUGGGGAAUAUUGCACAAUGGGGGAAACCCUGAUGCAGCGACGCCGCGUGAGUGAAGAAGUAUCUCGGUAUGUAAAGCUCUAUCAGCAGGGAAGAAAAUGACGGUACCUGACUAAGAAGCCCCGGCUAACUACGUGCCAGCAGCCGCGGUAAUACGUAGGGGGCAAGCGUUAUCCGGAAUUACUGGGUGUAAAGGGUGCGUAGGUGGUAUGGCAAGUCAGAAGUGAAAACCCAGGGCUUAACUCUGGGACUGCUUUUGAAACUGUCAGACUGGAGUGCAGGAGAGGUAAGCGGAAUUCCUAGUGUAGCGGUGAAAUGCGUAGAUAUUAGGAGGAACAUCAGUGGCGAAGGCGGCUUACUGGACUGAAACUGACACUGAGGCACGAAAGCGUGGGGAGCAAACAGGAUUAGAUACCCUG